GGAGGAAUCUCUGGAGAGAGCCGUUAAAUCGGCCGCCGAAGGAGCAAGCCCUUAUCUGAAAAAUGAUAAAGGUGAAACUCUCAGGCAAAAGGACAGAGGAGAAAGU
rfam:Vibrio fischeri ES114 chromosome I, complete sequence.